rnacentral:tRNA from 2 species
GGUCCGUUGGUGUAAUGGUAACACUAACCUAUCCUGGCGUGGUAGAGCGGAAGAUACCGGUUCGAAUCCGGUACGGGCCA